GUAUUUUUUUAAUUCCAUUUUCCCCUCUAUUAGAACAUUAUGUAUUUUAAUAUUGUUUUAAAGGUUAUAUUAGAGACAACAAUAUAUAUCCUUGACUUACUAUCACCUAAAAUUAAUACUUUUACCACUUCCUUUUCUCUUCUUUCACUUUAUUUAGAUUGAGCAAGUUUUUUUUUCAUUCAAUUUCCCCCUCUAUUAGAUCAUGGAUUACGUAUUUUUAAUAUUAUUUUAAAGUUAAUAUUUGUUUCAGAUUUAUCCACAUAUUUACUCCUUUAUUUGUUCUUCAUUCUGUUGUGCAUUUUUAAUGCUUCUGGCUAGCAGUACAUUCCUGCCAACUAACUCCUUUUAGUAUUUUAGUGUAGCCCUACUGGGAAAAUCCUCAGUUUUUAUUCGUCUGAAAAUAUCUUUACCUUCAUGUUUUGAAGAAUGUUUUCACUAGAUGUAGGCUCUAGAUUACCAGGUACUUUCUUUUCCAUUGUCUUUUGACCUCCAUCAUUUCUCCUGGGGAAUCUACUGUCACUCUCUGUGUUAUUACUGCUCCUUGGACAGUAAUGUGUCUUUCUACCUCUAGCUAAUGUUAAUCAUUUCUCUUUGCCUUUUCAUUUCAGCAUUUUUACAAUGAUGUUCCUAGCUGUGUUUUCAUUGCAUUUAUCCUGUCUAGGGUUUAUGGUGAUAUUUGAACCCAUGGCUUAUUUCUUUAGUAAGUUCUGAAAAAUUCUGUCUUUUCAAAUAUUCUGUGCCUUUUUUCUCUCUCUCUUCUCUCCUCCAAUUACGCAUGUUUGAUGUUUGUGCUCUGUCCCACACUUUUCUUAUACUCUUUUUAUUUUUCAUUCUUUGUUCUCUUUUAUUUCAAUCUGAAUAUUUUCUC
rnacentral:lncRNA from 1 species